AAAAGCUUAAGUUAAUCAAACUAAAAACCUUCAAAGUUUUCAUCACCUAAAAAUAGGUAGCUUUUA
rnacentral:tRNA from 1 species